rnacentral:rRNA from 1 species
GAUGAACGCUGGCGGCGUGCCUAAUACAUGCAAGUCGAGCGAACAGACGAGGAGCUUGCUCCUCUGACGUUAGCGGCGGACGGGUGAGUAACACGUGGAUAACCUACCUAUAAGACUGGGAUAACUUCGGGAAACCGGAGCUAAUACCGGAUAAUAUAUUGAACCGCAUGGUUCAAUAGUGAAAGACGGUUUUGCUGUCACUUAUAGAUGGAUCCGCGCCGCAUUAGCUAGUUGGUAAGGUAACGGCUUACCAAGGCAACGAUGCGUAGCCGACCUGAGAGGGUGAUCGGCCACACUGGAACUGAGACACGGUCCAGACUCCUACGGGAGGAAGCAGUAGGGAAUCUUCCGCAAUGGGCGAAAGCCUGACGGAGCAACGCCGCGUGGGUGAUGAAGGUCUUCGGAUCGUAAAACUCUGUUAUUAGGGAAGAACAAAUGUGUAAGUAACUAUGCACGUCUUGACGGUACCUAAUCAGAAAGCAACGGCUAACUACGUG